UUAAAUAUAUAAAUGCCAAAAAUAAAGUAACUUGAGUCGAUUUUCAAUUCAAAGUGCAUAUGAGUUUUAAUUAUUACUCAAUAUAUUAUUUAUCUAUUCAACCAUGAAUGAAAGUAU
rnacentral:sRNA from 16 species